rnacentral:rRNA from 1 species
GAUGAACGCUGGCGGCGUGCCUAAUACAUGCCAGUCGAGCGAACAGACGAGGAGCUUGCUCCUCUGACGUUAGCGGCGGACGGGUGAGUAACACGUGGAUAACCUACCUAUAAGACUGGGAUAACUUCGGGAAACCGGAGCUAAUACCGGAUAAUAUAUUGAACCGCAUGGUUCAAUAGUGAAAGACGGUUUUGCUGUCACUUAUAGAUGGAUCCGCGCCGCAUUAGCUAGUUGGUAAGGUAACGGCUUACCAAGGCAACGAUGCGUAGCCGACCUGAGAGGGUGAUCGGCCACACUGGAGCUGAGACACGGUCCAGACUCCUACGGGAGGCAGCAGUAGGGAAUCUUCCGCAAUGGGCGAAAGCUUGACGGAGCAACGCCGCGUGAGUGAUGAAGGUCUUCGGAUCGUAAAACUCUGUUAUUAGGGAAGAACAAAUGUGUAAGUAACUAUGCACGUCUUGACGGUACCUAAUCAGAAAGCCACGGCUAACUACGUG